rnacentral:rRNA from 1 species
CCUACGGGAGGCAGCAGUGAGGAAUAUUGGUCAAUGGCCGCAGGGCUGAACCAGCCAAGUCGCGUGAGGGAUGACGGUCCUAUGGAUUGUAAACCUCUUUUGUCAGGGAGCAAAGGGCGCCACGUGUGGCGUUUUGCGAGUACCUGAAGAAAAAGCAUCGGCUAACUCCGUGCCAGCAGCCGCGGUAAU